AUACUUACCUCGCAGGGGAGAUGCCAGAUGAUGAAGGUGGUUUUCUCAGAGAAAGUAUGUCUAUGGCACCCUGGAUGUGCUGACCCUUGUGAUUUCCACAAUGUAGGAAGCAGGAGUGCAUAAUUUAUGAUAGUAGGGUUCUAUAUUUGUGCUGGCCACUG